UCUUCCCUCUUUCUUCGUGCCUAAUACAUGCAAGUCGAGCGAACAGACGAGGAGCUUGCUCCUCUGACGUUAGCGGCGGACGGGUGAGUAACACGUGGAUAACCUACCUAUAAGACUGGGAUAACUUCGGGAAACCGGAGCUAAUACCGGAUAAUAUAUUGAACCGCAUGGUUCAAUAGUGAAAGACGGUUUUGCUGUCACUUAUAGAUGGAUCCGCGCUGCAUUAGCUAGUUGGUAAGGUAACGGCUUACCAAGGCAACGAUGCGUAGCCGACCUGAGAGGGUGAUAGGCCACACAGGAACUUAGACACGGGCCAGACUCCUAAGGGAGGGAGAAAGGGGGAAUCUUCCGCGAAGGGGGGAAGCCUUGAGGAGCAACGCCGCGUGAGGUAUUAAGGUCUUUGGAUCGUAAAACUGUUGUUUUAGGGAAAAAAAUAUUGUUAAGUAAAUGUCCACAGCUUGGCGGGGACCAAUAAGAAAACCACGGCUAAAUACGGG
rnacentral:rRNA from 1 species